GGCGCGUAGUGUAAUGGCUAACACAUCAGUCCGGUCUACUGAAGAUGCUGGUUCGCUCCCAGCCGCCG